UCAAAGAUUAAAGACAAAAAAAAAAAGAAAAAAAAAAAAAAGAAAAAAAAGAGAGAUUCCGCGCCUAGAUUUUUGAAAGAAGAAACCCUCGUCUGCCCUUUAAUUGCCGCUCAAGUAAAAUGGGUUUGUCUUUUCUCAUUCCCCUCCCCUGGUUUCUUCCUUCAUUCUUUCUUUCAUUCUGAAUCAACUCUACCUUAGGAAUGAUUUUUUUUUCCUCUUUCAAGUUAUGAGACUCGCCAAGUGUAUUUUAUUUUCUCAUCUUCCUCCAUUAUUUGUUUUGUUCGAUCUGAAUCAACAAUAAUCAGCGGCACCUUCGCCUUCAUCCUCUUCAACAAACUCCACUUCCACUCUCUUCCUCGCUUUUGUAACUCACCUUUUUCAAACAUUCUACCUAAUUCAUUAAAAUCAAAGUUACAAAGUACCAGUUUCUGUUUUCUUUCCUUCGAUUGGAUUCUUUGUGGUUUCGCCAAGAUCAGAUCGGGAUAGUGCCUUCGCAUUGGGGAAUCACUGCUGAUGGAUACGUGUUCGCCAAUGAUGUUGGUCUUCUCAACGGUGCUUGUGGAGAAUCCCUUGCUUCGUUCCUCAAGGAUGUUUCUUCUCUACUGUGGUGCGAGAUUUGGAUGUUAUGAGAAUCCGAAGAACAACAUUUCAUUCUUUCACCUUCAUCUAACUAUCACCAUUUUGCAAAUCAGUCAACGGAAAAUAAAGGAAUAACGGAGUUGGAGCCAGAAAGAAUGAUUACUGCUGAACCUGCUCUUGAAGAAGAGAUAUGGGGAGCAAAAUUCAAGGAAUUAUGGCUUCUUUACUUUCUACCGGAGCACUGGAGUACAUUUUCUACUUGGCAACAAAGAUGCAAAGUUUCUCUCUUCGAGCUGCAACUCGGACACCAAGUUUAGUCCUAUUAGUUGACUCAAUUCGACUUAUAGUUUGGCUUUGACUUGAUCUUUCUUGAAAAACUCAAGCUCUUUAUAUAGGUGGAUGAAAUGAUAACUUUACAUGUGAAAAUAUCAAAGAUGGAAGCUCAAUUCCAUGAGGUUAUAAUCCUCAACACUUGACGAGUUUUGUUGAACGUUGUAUAGUUGCAAAUUACAUUUGAUGUAUUUCUUGUAUUAUUGGAUAAUUUCUUUAGUUUAUAAUGUAAAUUGAUUACUAAAAUUUCAGUAA